ACAACGGCCCUUUUCAGGGCCAACAAUUUUUCACACGUCGGGAUUU
rfam:Cyphomyrmex costatus contig16520, whole genome shotgun sequence.